UUCAGGUGUGGAGAAGCUCAGCAGUGAGAGAUUGAUCUCUGAGAAAAAAAGACAAAUCUCCUUUCAUUCCAACUUCCUUAGUAACACAAGGGCGAAACAGGAAAAAAAGAAAGAAUGUAAAUACGAUAACUGAAAGAAAAAAUAUGGCUGUGCUAGAAGAAGAGAAUACAAUAUUAUUAAGCCCAAGGAGAAUAGGAAGAUCUUUGGAGUGAUACUCUAGGAGCCUCAAAGGUGGAGUGAUGGGGAUUUAUACCGAAGACCACAAGAUUUAAUUACUCAGGCCAGCCCAGAUACAAGGAGAGGUGUGUGUGUAUGUACAGGGAAGGAAGAAAGAAAUUUAUGGUGGACAUGUUUGGAGACUGUCUAGCUACAAGCGAAUGUAUUAUCUUGGAGGAAACUCUAUCUGUACAAGGACCUUUCUUUAUCAGGUGCCUCUGCCAUGAUGACAUCCAUCGUGUUGUGAUGCAGCCAAAGGAACACUUACCAGAGGCUGAAGCAAUUGGACCACACAAUCUUGGACUUCUAGCUUCCAAAAUUAUAUUGAAAGAUUAGAAGCUCAUAUUCAGAUCUCUGGGCAUCUUCUCAGCAGCCUGUGGAGGUGGAUUCCCCUUUGUAGAAGAAGAUAUUGAAGCUUUUGAGAAUUGAGAGCCUUGAUGGCUGGCAAGGUCACCUGACUGGUAUAGAAUGGAGAGUACUUUGCUUAUAACAUGAAAUAUAUACCUUGACAGUUGGAUAUAGAUAGAGGCCAUUUAACAUGUAUUUCAUUUUUACUUUAAAAUUCUGUGGUAGAUGUUCAACUUCUCUUGGUGAAUAAUUGCAUAAUAGACUGUAAAAUAAAGGAAAUCAAGACCAGAUCUGGGAAUGGUCUUCUCCCCAUUGCCUGCAGUGAUCCAGAUGGGUUGUUUAUCUGCUCUCAGCAGGAUGAGUAUGGUACAAAGUGAAGAUAUGUGUUCCUUGUAUUUGGGAAAACUGUCAGAGUUAACAUAGUCUCUUAGCAAAAGCCUUGGGGGACUGAAGCCAAGUAGG